AGAGUUUGAUCAUGGCUCAGACGAACGCUGGCGGCAGGCUUAACACAUGCAAGUCGAACGCACCGCAAGGUGAGUGGCAGACGGGUGAGUAACGCGUGGGAACGUGCCCUUCAGUUCGGGAUAACCCAGGGAAACUUGGGCUAAUACCGGAUACGUGCGAGAGCAGAAAGAUUUUAUCGCUGAAGGAUCGGCCCGCGUCUGAUUAGCUAGUUGGUGGGGUAAUGGCCCACCAAGGCGACGAUCAGUAGCUGGUCUGAGAGGAUGAUCAGCCACAUUGGGACUGAGACACGGCCCAAACUCCUACGGGAGGCAGCAGUGGGGAAUAUUGGACAAUGGGCGCAAGCCUGAUCCAGCCAUGCCGCGUGAGUGAUGAAGGCCUUAGGGUUGUAAAGCUCUUUCGUCCGGGACGAUAAUGACGGUACCGGAAGAAGAAGCCCCGGCUAACUUCGUGCCAGCAGCCGCGGUAAUACGAAGGGGGCUAGCGUUGUUCGGAAUCACUGGGCGUAAAGGGCGCGUAGGCGGCCUGAUAAGUCGGGGGGUGAAAGCCUGUGGCUCAACCACAGAAUUGCCUUCGAUACUGUCGGGCUUGAGACCGGAAGAGGUAAGUGGAACUGCGAGUGUAGAGGUGAAAUUCGUAGAUAUUCGCAAGAACACCAGUGGCGAAGGCGGCUUACUGGUCCGGUUCUGACGCUGAGGCGCGAAAGCGUGGGGAGCAAACAGGAUUAGAUACCCUAGUAGUCC
rnacentral:rRNA from 1 species